UACGUAGGGGGCAAGCGUUGUCCGGAAUCAUUGGGCGUAAAGCGCGUGUAGGCGGCUUGGUAAGUCUGCUCUGAAAGCCCGGGGCUCAACCCCGGGAGGCGGGUGGAUACUGUCAAGCUCGAGUCCGGAAGAGGAGUGUGGAAUUCCUGGUGUAGCGGUGAAAUGCGUAGAGAUCAUGAGGAAGACCAGUGGCGAAGGCGGGUCUCUGGACAGUUCCUGACACUGAGGCACGAAGGCCAGGGGAGCAAACGGG
rnacentral:rRNA from 1 species